CAAACAUGAAAUUAAGUUCAAAAAGUGGGGCCGAUUAAUCCAUCCGUCUGUCUAAUUUGAAAAAAGUUAUGAUGAAAGAUUUAAAAAACUUACAACAAUGACAUAAAGAGUCGUCUGUCGGAUAUCUAUAAAACUUCUCGCACAUCCUAAAUUA